rnacentral:rRNA from 1 species
GCAGUCGAGCGGAAGGCCCUUCGGGGUACUCGAGCGGCGAACGGGUGAGUAACACGUGAGCAACCUGCCCCAGGCUUUGGGAUAACCCCGGGAAACCGGGGCUAAUACCGAAUAUGACCUUGCACCGCAUGGUGUUUGGUGGAAAGUUUUUCGGCUUGGGAUGGGCUCGCGGCCUAUCAGCUUGUUGGUGGGGUGAUGGCCUACCAAGGCGACGACGGGUAGCCGGCCUGAGAGGGCGACCGGCCACACUGGGACUGAGACACGGCCCAGACUCCUACGGGAGGCAGCAGUGGGGAAUAUUGCACAAUGGGCGGAAGCCUGAUGCAGCGACGCCGCGUGAGGGAUGACGGCCUUCGGGUUGUAAACCUCUUUCAGCAGGGACGAAGCGUAAGUGACGGUACCUGCAGAAGAAGCGCCGGCCAACUACGUGCCAGCAGCCGCGGUAAGACGUAGGGCGCGAGCGUUGUCCGGAUUUAUUGGGCGUAAAGAGCUCGUAGGCGGCUUGUCGCGUCGACCGUGAAAACCUGGGGCUCAACCCCAGGCCUGCGGUCGAUACGGGCAGGCUAGAGUUCGGUAGGGGAGACUGGAAUUCCUGGUGUAGCGGUGAAAUGCGCAGAUAUCAGGAGGAACACCGGUGGCGAAAGCGGGUCUCUGGGCCGAUACUGACGCUGAGGAGCGAAAGCGUGGGGAGCGAACAGGAUUAGAUACCCUGGUAGUCCACGCUGUAAACGUUGGGCGCUAGGUGUGGGGGGCCUCUCCGGUUCCCUGUGCCGCAGCUAACGCAUUAAGCGCCCGCCUGGGGAGUACGGCCGCAAGGCUAAACUCAAAGGAAUUGACGGGGCCGCACAAGCGGCGGAGCAUGCGGAUUAUUUCGAU